rnacentral:rRNA from 1 species
UUCGACUGUAUAGGUGGGAUUCCGAGAGCCAGCGGCUAAAUCCUGCUGCUCUAACGGGUAGCGGGAGGUGUAGCGUAAAGAGAGGCGAAUUUCCUUGAUGGCUGUCGACUUAAAUUCUCCUUGACUGGGGUUCCAGAGAAGGUGAAAGGCCUGUUCAGUCGAUGGCCGUCUUGGAUUCCGUUCUACUUGGAGUCGGGUUGUUUGGGAACGCAGCCCAAAUUGGGUGGUAAACUUCAUCUAAGGCUAAAUACGGCCACGAAACCGAUAGCAAACAAGUACCGUGAGGGAAAGUUGAAAAGUACUUUGAAGAGAGAGUUCAAGAGGACGUGAAACCGGUAGGAUGGAAACGGAUAGAGCCAACGAACAAGCCCGUAUUCAGCUAGUCGGCUGCGUGCAGCUUGCCUGUGUGCUCGAUAGGGUGCCUUGGCGGGUGUGGUAUGUGGUCGGCUAGUGCAUUUGCGGGUGAUGUGCGCUGAGGCGUGUGAUGGAGCAACAUGAACUGUCCGGAGAGGCCUCGCUUCGGCUUGGUACCUACGGGCGGGGAGUGUCGUCUCUGUUGCACGUAGCUUAGAGUUAGGUUCAGACGCGCUUCAGUAUUGCCGGGCCGGCGCUCGGGUGAGUCGCAUGCGACGAUCCCGGAUGUUCGGUUUUGGUGGCGCUGCGGUGCCCUGGCUUACCCUCGGCGUAAAAGUUGGUCAUCUCUCCGACCCGUCUUGAAACACGGACCAAGGAGUCUAGCGUAUACGCGAGUCAUUGGGUGAAAAACCCAUAGGCGAAAUGAAAGUGAAGGUCUCUUCCGAGACUGAUAUGCGAUCCGUUGCGUUGCGGCGCAGCGGAGCAGCAUAACCCCAUCUCGACUGCUUGCAGUGGGGUGGCGGUAGAGCGUAUGCGCUGGUACCCGAAAGAUGGUGAACUAUGCCUGAGCAGGAUGAAGCCAGGGGAAACCCUGGUGGAGGUCCGAAGCGCUUCUGACGUGCAAAUCGAUCGUCUGACAGCGGAUAAACAGCGCUCACCGUC